GUUUUGGAGUGCAGGCGUGAAUAGUCCUUUCUGUCCUGCUUUGAGUACUGCUGUUGGGUGCCUUGGGGGGACCUUAAGGGAGCUCGGAAGUUGAGACGUGGUGAGUGCGAGAUCACUGCCCACAAAGGGGAGGAGCAGGCGGAUGAACAGCCAGAGCUGCAAUGGUGGAUCCUCCUCCAGGGCUGCAUGGGACGACAGAUAGAUGAGGCUCUAGGACGGGCACAAAUGCUACCCGAAUGCAAACCACUCCGGAGAUCUGUAAAAGGACUGGCCCCGGACAGGAAGCACACUUUAAACUAGAGGCGGGAGUCAAAGCCCCGGUGAAGAUUCUGUGACGGUUCAUUGUAUAAUUUAUGAUGAUGAAGAUUGAGUUGCAUUUUGCGGAAAAGAGAUGUUGAGAUAUCUAAGGCAUUGAGAAAUCUGUCAUGCAGACAUGCACACAGGGAGAGGGAGUACCCAAACUGAUGAGAACUUACAGGAAUUGGACCAUCUAAGCCCUUAGAAAGUGAAGUCCACUGUGUCUCAAACAAAGAUCUUCAUCCACAUCUUGAAGUUUGAAGUUUGGCCAAGAAUAUACAGAGUAGAUUCUCUUUCUCAGGAUGGCAAGUGUUCAUGACAUCAAUACUACCCAAGGCUUCAGAGUCAUUGGAUUGCAGGAUUAUGCUUUGUGUUGUCCAAAUCUAUGGGAUAUUUUAGGAUGCAGUAACUUAUGAUGAUGUGCGUGUGAACUUCACUGAGGAAGAGUGGGAUUUGCUGGAUCCUUCCCAGAAAAGUCUCUAUGAAGAGGUGAUGCUGGAGACCUACCAGAACAUCACUGCUAUAGGUAA
rnacentral:lncRNA from 1 species